rnacentral:rRNA from 1 species
AUGGAGGUGGUGGCGGAGGCCGGCGCGCAGCAGCCGUGGGACCAGUUCAAGGAGGAGGUGGAGAUCAUGGAGGAGGAACACCGCGGCGGCGCUGAUGCGGUGGAGGAGCUGCUGACCAGGGAGAUCCGGAGGAGGCUGGACCACUCCCACGGCCACGGCAACGGCAACGGCAACGACGCCCACCAUGCCAAUGGCGGAGAAGAAGAAGACCACAGCAGUGGCGGAGAAGAGGAAGAAGAAGACCACGCCAAUGGCGGAGAAGAAGAAGAGGGCGAUGCCAAUGGCGGAGAAGAAGAAGAGGAGGAGGACGAGAUCAAGGUGGCUCCCGAGGAGGAGCACAGGAGUAUCUUCUUGGAUGUAGCCAAAGGGCUAUGGAAGUGCCGGCACUGCGACUGGACGUACCGCUUGGUUACUCCAUGCGAAAAUGGUAUCCUGAACCAUCGGGGCUAUCGCCACGAAAUCGAAUGGAAUCCCAAAUCGUUAGUUCAGAAAGAACCGUUUUACGGUUCGCUGAACAGAGUCCCUGAUAUCAUUACUGAAGUAACUGCCAGUUAUCAUGUCACGGGAACGGUGCGAUCUAGUGCUGAAAAGGAAGACACAAAUGGGACUUUGACUCCGAAAGGCAAAGGGCUUAUAGCACACGAGAAUGGAAAUGCUCAAGAAAUUAAUCAUGGUCCAAGCAAUGGCAAGUUAGAGAAUGGAUCACACUCAAAUGGUUUUGAUCAGGUCCCCAACGGCGCUAAACCUAAGAUAGAAUACAUGUUUGAAAUCAACAAGACUGAAAUUUAUCCAACUGAAGUUGACAAGGACGGACAUGUCACCGAGGCUGAACCAAAGGUCGAAGAGUACGAUCUCGAGAGGAUUUUGGAUCAGCAAGAAACGUAUGACCUGUUCUGUCCCAACUGCACCUCGUGCAUAACCCGGAGGGUCAUCCUGAAGAAGAGGAAAAGGACAGUAAGAACAACACCCACCGAUGAACAGUCAAAGAGACCGUAUAUCGAAGGACAGUUGCCUCCUCUUCCUUUACCUGAUAGGGUUGAGGAAGAAUCACCCGACGUAUUCAGAUGUUUGUCAUGCUUCUCGUUCUUCAUUCCAACAGGAUGCAGUUUUAACAUAUUCCGUAUAUUUCGGAGGAGGGAUGUGGACGGACAACCGGAUGUUCUUCCUCCUCCAGCAUCAGAUGACACGCCUCCCCGGUCUGAAAAUUGCACAAGCUGGCUUUUGUCUUGUUUUCAGCCAGGAGAUAACCCAAACCAACCUGCUCCUGCUGCAGAACCAGCGAUGGUGCCACUGCUGUCCGAUACACAGAGCUCCAACAAUACAACCACAAGAAAUGAAUCUAGCACAUCAUAUGUUCAUGUUAGUCAUGAGACAGUUUUGAAACCAGAGCAUGCGGCAGUCGAAUCACCUUCAAAGAACCAAGCUCCUGCAGAUUCACCAAGGAGUCCACCGUUACCUGAUAUAGAGACACCCAGUGGUACAACCACAACGACAACUGAAACCAACGAAUCAUAUGGCCAGCAUAGUCAUGUCACAGAUGAGUUGAUAGUCAAAUCAUCUUAUCAUACAACCACCACUACAGUCACAUCAGAAACAGAUACCACAUCUUCUACAACCAACACAGGAGCAUCAUCUGAAACAUCAUACUCUACAGGAACUGGUGAAAUGCCUCCCCUGAAUCCUGUCGGUGAUGCUAUCGUUGACGCAACUCAGCACAAGGAUGUUCACAGGACUGUGACGACGACCAUUGAGAAUGGCUUUUCCACCCAGCACAACUCAGGAGUCAAGGUCGAUGGCCCGAACGUGACAAAUAUCCCAAGGGACAAUAUACCAACGUUGCCGAAUCCUCAACCAGCAAACCCAGAUCAUGUUGCGGUAUCAGUCUUUGGAGAUGUGAAUCAGGUUGCUCCUAGACCCCAACAGAGGGAUGACUGGGAUAUACUGAAAGCCAUAGUGUAUGGAGGCUUAGUGGAGUCAAUCACCAGCCUCUCCGUUGUUUCGGCGGCCGCAUCAAGCGGCGCCAAAACAUUGGACAUAAUCAUCCUGGGCAUAGCCAACCUUAUUGGAGGACUUCCUCUUAUCUUCCACAAUGUCGCCGAUCUGAGAGACAUCCGAGACGUGGACGGGAACGACGAGCAGGUCGGCCACUACUGGCUGCAGCUCGGGAGGCGGUCCAAAGCCCGGCUCCACAUGGUCAUGGCCCUGCUCUCAUACAUGGUGUUCGGGCUGCUCCCGCCGGUGCUCUACGGGCUGUCGUUCCGCGAGAGCAACGACCGGGAGAACAAGAUGAUGGCGGUCGCCGGUGCUUCGCUCGCCUGCAUCGCUCUGCUGGCGCUCGGAAAGGCGCGCGUCCACACCAGGACCUACUUCAAGACACUGGUGUACUACCUGGCCAUCGCCGUGAGCUCGUCCGGGCUGUCGUAUGUCGCCGGCGUGCUGAUCACGCGGCUCCUGGUGCACUAUGGGAUCAUCGAGCAAGGCGGUUCGGCUGCUCCUGCUCCUCCAGGGCUUUCGUCGCCGUUCGCUUAUGCCGCCGCUGGUGCAGAGUCGUCUGCAUGGGCCUCAUUCUGA